UACGUAGGGUGCAAGCGUUGUCCGGAAUUAUUGGGCGUAAAGAGCGCGCAGGCGGCCUUUUAGGUCUGAUGUGAAAGCCCACGGCUCAACCGUGGAGGGUCAUUGGAAACUGGGGAACUUGAGUGCAGAAGAGAAAAGCGGAAUUCCACGUGUAGCGGUGAAAUGCGUAGAGAUGUGGAGGAACACCAGUGGCGAAGGCGGCUUUUUGGUCUGUAACUGACGCUGAGGCGCGAAAGCGUGGGGAGCAAACAGG
rnacentral:rRNA from 1 species